rnacentral:rRNA from 1 species
ACCCUAGGCAGGGGAUCACUCGGCUCGUGGAUCGA